rnacentral:rRNA from 1 species
UACGUAGGGGGCAAGCGUUGUCCGGAUUUAUUGGGCGUAAAGAGCGUGUAGGCGGCCAUGCAGGUCCGUUGUGAAAACUCGAGGCUCAACCUCGAGACGCCGAUGGAAACCGCAUGGCUAGAGUCCGGAAGAGGAGAGUGGAAUUCCUGGUGUAGCGGUGAAAUGCGUAGAGAUCUGGAAGAACACCAAAGGCGAAGGCAGCGUCCUGGCAAGUCACUGACGCUCAGGUGCGAAAGCUAGGGGAGCGAACGGG